GAUGAACGCUAGCGGGAGGCCUAACACAUGCAAGCCGAGCGGUAUGGCUAGCUUGCUAUCCAGAGAGCGGCGUACGGGUGCGUAACACGUGUGCAACCUACCUUUAUCUGGGGGAUAGCCUUUCGAAAGGAAGAUUAAUACCCCAUAAUAUAAUGAUUGGCAUCAAUUAUUAUUGAAAACUCCUGUGGAUAGAGAUGGGCACGCGCAAGAUUAGAUAGUUGGUGAGGUAACGGCUCACCAAGUCAAUGAUCUUUAGGGGUCCUGAGAGGGAGAUCCCCCACACGGGUAAUGAGACACGGACCAGACUCCUACGGGAGGCAGCAGUGAGGAAUAUUAGACAAUGGGUGAGAGCCUGAUCCAGCCAUCCCGCGUGAAGGAUGACGGGCCUAUGGAUUGUAAACUUCUUUUGUACAGGGAUAAACCUACCCUCGGGAGGGUAGCUGAAGGUACUGGACGAAUAAGCACCGGCUAACUCCGUG
rnacentral:rRNA from 1 species